AUUGAACGCUGGCGGCAUGCCUUACACAUGCAAGUCGAACGGUAACAGGUCUUCGGAUGCUGACGAGUGGCGAACGGGUGAGUAAUACAUCGGAACGUGCCUAGUAGUGGGGGAUAACUAGUCGAAAGAGUGGCUAAUACCGCAUGAGAUCUACGGAUGAAAGCAGGGGAUCGCAAGAACUUGUGCUACUAGAGCGGCCGAUGGCAGAUUAGGUAGUUGGUGGGAUAAAAGCGUACCAAGCCGACGAUCUGUAGCUGGUCUGAGAGGACGAUCAGCCACACUGGGACUGAGACACGGCCCAGACUCCUACGGGAGGCAGCAGUGGGGAAUUUUGGACAAUGGGCGCAAGCCUGAUCCAGCAAUGCCGCGUGCAGGAUGAAGGCCUUCGGGUUGUAAACUGCUUUUGUACGGAACGAAAAGCCCUGGGUUAAUACCCUGGGGUCAUGACGGUACCGUAAGAAUAAGCACCGGCUAACUACGUGCCAGCCGCCGCAGUAAGAC
rnacentral:rRNA from 1 species